rnacentral:rRNA from 1 species
UACAGAGAGUGCAAGCGUUAAUCGGAAUUACUGGGCGUAAAGCGCGCGUAGGUGGACAUUUAAGUCGGAUGUGAAAUACCUGGGCUUAACCUGGGAAUUGCAUUCGAUACUGAAUGUCUAGAGUAUGGUAGAGGGAAGUGGAAUUUCCGGUGUAGCGGUGAAAUGCGUAGAUAUCGGAAAGAACACCAGUGGCGAAGGCGACUUCCUGGACCAAUACUGACACUUUAGCGCGAAAGCGUGGGGAGCAAAC